AUUGAACGCUGGCGGCAUGCCUUACACAUGCAAGUCGAACGGCAGCACGGGAGCAAUCCUGGUGGCGAGUGGCGAACGGGUGAGUAAAGUAUCGGAACGUGCCCAGUCGUGGGGGAUAACGUAGCGAAAGUUACGCUAAUACCGCAUACGAUCUAUGGAUGAAAGCGGGGGAUCGCAAGACCUCGCGCGAUUGGAGCGGCCGAUAUCAGAUUAGGUAGUUGGUGGGGUAAAGGCUCACCUAGCCGACGAUCUGUAGCUGGUCUGAGAGGACGACCAGCCACACUGGGACUGAGACACGGCCCAGACUCCUACGGGAGGCAGCAGUGGGGAAUUUUGGACAAUGGGCGAAAGCCUGAUCCAGCCAUGCCGCGUGCAGGAUGAAGGCCUUCGGGUUGUAAACUGCUUUUGUACGGAACGAAAAGGUUUGGCCUAAUAAGCUGAGCUCAUGACGGUACCGUAGGAACAAGCACCGGCUAACUACGUGCCAGCAGCCGCGGUAA
rnacentral:rRNA from 1 species